GACGAACGCUGGCGGCGUGCUUAACACAUGCAAGUCGAACGAAGUGGCGAACGGGUGAGUAACGCGCAAUCAACCUGCCCUUCAGAGGGGGACAACAGUUGGCAACGACUGCUAAUACCGCAUACUGAAGGAGGGGAUUGCGUCUGAUUUGCUAGUUGGUGGGGUAACGGCCCACCAAGGCGAUGAUCAGUAGGCGGUCUGGGGAGGUGAACGGCCACAUUGGGACUGAGACACGGCCCAGACUCCUACGGGAGGCAGCAGGGGGGAAUCUUCCGCAAUGGACGCAAGUCUGACGGAGCAACGCCGCGUGAGUGAUGACGGCCUUCGGGUUGUAAAGCUCUGUUAAUCGGGACGCGGUACCGGAAUAGAAAGCCACGGCUAACUACGUGCCAGCAGCCGCGGUAAUAC
rnacentral:rRNA from 1 species